AGAAUCAACGCUGGCGGCGUGCCUCAGACAUGCAAGUCGAACGCGAAAGUCCCCUUCGGGGGACAAGUAGAGUGGCGCACGGGUGAGUAACACGUAGGUAAUCUACCUUUGGAUGGGGAAUAACACCGGAAACGGUUGCUAAUACCGCAUAAUGCAGCGGCACCUAAUGGUGACAGUUGUUAAAGCGGGGGAUCGAAAGCCUCGCGUCUGAAGAGGAGCCUGCGGCGGAUUAGCUAGUUGGUAAGGUAAUGGCUUACCAAGGCUACGAUCC
rnacentral:rRNA from 1 species